rnacentral:rRNA from 1 species
UACGGGGGGAGCAAGCGUUGUUCGGAUUUACUGGGCGUAAAGGGCGCGUAGGCGGCCUCUGCAAGUCGACUGUGAAAUCUCCGGGCUUAACCCGGAAAGGUCAGCCGAUACUGCAGGGCUAGAGUGCAGAAGGGGCAACUGGAAUUCUCGGUGUAGCGGUGAAAUGCGUAGAUAUCGAGAGGAACACCAGUGGCGAAGGCGAGUCCCUGGACAGAUCCUGACGCUGAGGCGCGAAAGCUAGGGGAGCAAACGGG